CUCGUCAGGCUCAGUCCCCUCCCGGUAAAUCCCUAAAUAGGGACCUUCCUGGGGGGCGACCCUGGCU
rnacentral:pre_miRNA from 14 species